rnacentral:rRNA from 1 species
AACGAACGCUGGCGGCAUGCCUAACACAUGCAAGUCGAACGAGACCUUCCUGCCUAGUGGCGCACGUGUGCGUAACGCGUGGGAACCUGCACUUAGGUUCGGAAUAACUCCCCGUAAGGGGUGCUAAUACCGGUUAAUGUCUUCGGACCAAGGAUUUGGCGCGUGGGGAUGGGCGCGCGUUGGAUUAGCUAGUUGGUGGGGUAGUGGCCUAACAAGGCGACGAUGGGUAGCUGGUCUGAGAGGAUGAGCGGCCACACUGGGACUGAGACACGGCACAGACUCCUACGGGAGGCAGCAGUGGGGAAUAUUGCACAAUGGGCGGAAGCCUGAUGCAGCAACGCCGCGUGCGGGAUGACGGCCUUCGGGUUGUAAACCGCUUUCGCCUGUGACGAAGCGUGAGUGACGGUAAUGGGUAAAGAAGCACCGGCUAACUACGUG